rnacentral:lncRNA from 1 species
CCGUUGGUCGUGAGGACGGCGAUGGCCAUGGCGACUGCAGCUAUGGGUGUGCUUCAGAUCAAGGGAGAGAGAUGAGGAGGAAGGUUGAGGGGAUUAGGUUUCAUCCACGGGGUCGGGGUGGGUCUUAUCUACCCCCGGGGCUCGUCGGAUACUGAAAAUAGAGGCAACAACGACCAUGGAGGCGGGGAUGGCCGCUAUGCACAGGUUCUGCCUCAUCUGUGUACACAGGAGGAAGAAAAGUCAUGUGGUGGGUUGGGCGAGUGGUUGGGCCGACUAGGUCAAUUAGGC